rnacentral:rRNA from 1 species
AACGCGUAGAUAAUCUGCCCGACGAUCUGGGAUAACAGNGNCGAAAGNNCUGCUAAUACCGGAUAAGCCCACGUGGUCUUUGGACCGUGCGGGAAAAGGGGGGGACCUUCGGGCCUUCUGUCGUCGGAUGAGUCUGCGUACCAUUAGCUAGUUGGUAGGGUAGUGGCCUACCAAGGCUACGAUGGUUAGCUGGUCUGAGAGGAUGAUCAGCCACACUGGAACUGAGACACGGUCCAGACUCCUACGGGA